UACCUGGGUGGAAGAGCAGCAGGACUACAGACAGUUAAGUCUGCUGGCAGGGACUGGGGGAGCAAGAGACUCCUGGCUGGCUGCUAGGACUGAGCCAAAAAUAAUUUGCUAGCAGGGCUGUGGCCAGGACUACUUACUGAAAUAACACAGACACACCCAACCAGAGGAGGCACUAGUGAGAGCUUGAAGACGUUUUAUACACAGAGAAAAGAAUUGCACGCCCAGAGUCUGCUUCUUCUGUCUCUUACGCUGGGGUAACCUAGCAACGUACAUACAGUCAGCCAUUUACAACUGUAAAAAACAGCAAGCAGCAUUUCAAUCUGACAUGGAUGGAUUUAUUUUUCGAAAACGAGAAGGGUGGACUGGUGGAGAAGAUAAUGAAAGUCCUGGACCAUCUACAGCUACACGAAAUGAGCAUCCAAAAAAAUAAAGUGGUAAGAAAAUAUGAUAACACAUCCUUGAAGUUUGAAUUCUCCUUUACCAGAUCA